CCUACGGGAGGCAGCAGUGGGGAAUAUUGCACAAUGGGCGCAAGCCUGAUGCAGCGACGCCGCGUGAGGGAUGACGGCCUUCGGGUUGUAAACCUCUUUCAGCAGGGACGAAGCGCAAGUGACUGUACCUGCAGAAGAAGCGCCGGCUAACUACGUGCCAGCAGCCGCGGUAAU
rnacentral:rRNA from 1 species